AUCCCUGCGUGGUACGAAAAAAUAGGUAUUUUAGAACCAACAUAUAAGGAAAGGGAGCCUGGACUCUGAGUAUGGCGUGCAUGCUUACACAUAUAUAGUAAGAAGCCCAUGAGUAUUUAGGAGGGCACCCACCUGCUAGGAGCAGGUCCUUAAAAUCCCUAUAGAAACGGCCAAGGCGGGGAUU
rnacentral:other from 1 species